GCAACAGGCCCUGACGGCGUACCUUUUGUAUAAUGGGUCAGCGACUUAGUGUUGCAAGCGAGCUUAAGCCGAUAGGUGUAGGCGCAGGGAAACCGAGUCUGAAGAGGGCGAAGAGUUUGCAGCAUUAGACCCGAAACCGGGUGAUCUAGCCAUGAACAGGUUGAAGGUGAAGUAACAUUCACUGGAGGACCGAACCCACUCCCGUUGAAAAGGUAGGGGAUGAUUUGUGGUUAGGGGUGAAAGGCCAAUCAAACUCGGAAAUAGCUGGUUCUCCGCGAAAACUAUUUAGGUAGUGCGUCAAUGUAAUGCCGUCAGGGGUAGAGCACUGGAUGGGCUAGGGGGAAGCGAUUCUUGCCAAACCCAACCAAACUCCGAAUACUGAUGAGCAGUCGUUGGCAGACAGACGGUAGGUGCUAAGGUCUAUCGUCGAGAGGGAAAUAGCCCAGACCGCCAAUUAAGGUCCCCAAGUUAUGGCUAAGUGGGAAAGGAUGUGGGACGACCAAAACAGCCAGGAGGUUGGCUUAGAAGCAGCCAUCCUUUAAAGAAAGCGUAACAGCUCACUGGUCUAAGUAAGUUAUCCUGCGCCGAAGAUGUACCGGGGCUAAAGCCAUACACCGAAAUUGCGGAACUUGGAGUAAUCCAAGUUGGUAGCGGAGCGUUCCGUAGGCCUGAGAAGGAACAUGGUGAUGUGUUCUGGAGGUAUCGGAAGUGCGAAUGCUGACAUAAGUAGCGACAAAGAGUGUGAGAAACACUCUCGCCGAAAGUCCAAGGGUUCCUGCGUAAAGUUAAUCUGCGCAGGGUUAGCCGGCCCCUAACGCGAGGGCGACAGCCGUAGCGGAUGGGAAUGGGGUUAAUAUUCCCCAGCUUGCUGGAAUUGACGACUUGACGGAGUUAUCAUUCCUUAUUGGAUUGGAGUGGUAGCGGGUCGGGUCCGGGAAAUAGAUCCAGCGAAUAAACCGUACCCUAAACCGACACAGGUGGACUGGUAGAGCAUACCAAGGCGCUUGAGAGAACUAUCUUGAAGGAACUAGGCAAAUUGCAUGUGUAACUUCGGGAAAAACAUGCCCUUGCGGCGGGCAACCGUAGCAAGGGGGCACAAACCAGGGGGUAGCGACUGUUUAACAAAAACACAGGGCACUGCGAAGUUGGAAGACGACGUAUAGUGUCUGACGCCUGCCCGGUGCCGGAAGGUUAAGAGGAGAUGUUCACGCAUUGAAUCGAAGCCCCGGUAAACGGCGGCCGUAACUAUAACGGUCCUAAGGUAGCGAAAUUCCUUGUCGGGUAAGUUCCGACCUGCACGAAUGGCAU
rnacentral:rRNA from 1 species